UACGGGGGGAGCAAGCGUUGUUCGGAUUUACUGGGCGUAAAGGGCGCGUAGGCGGUCGUGACAAGUCACUUGUGAAAUCUCCGGGCUUAACUCGGAACGGUCAAGUGAUACUGUCGGACUAGAGUACAGAAGGGGCAACUGGAAUUCUCGGUGUAGCGGUGAAAUGCGUAGAUAUCGAGAGGAACACCUGCGGCGAAGGCGGGUUGCUGGGCUGAUACUGACGCUGAGGCGCGAAAGCCAGGAGAGCGAACGGG
rnacentral:rRNA from 1 species